rnacentral:tRNA from 1 species
GGGGAGAUUCCAGAGCGGUCAAAUGGGGCAGACUGUAAAUCUGUUGGCGCAGCCUUCGGAGGUUCGAAUCCUCCUCUCCCCA